rnacentral:rRNA from 1 species
AACGAACGCUGGCGGCAUGCCUAACACAUGCAAGUCGAACGAGACCUUCGGGUCUAGUGGCGCACGGGUGCGUAACGCGUGGGAACCUGCCCUUAGGUUCGGAAUAACUCCCCGAAAGGGGUGCUAAUACCGGAUAACGUCUUCGGACCAAAGAUUUAUCGCCUUUGGAUGGGCCCGCGUUGGAUUAGCUAGUUGGUAGGGUAAAAGCCUACCAAGGCGACGAUCCAUAGCUGGUCUGAGAGGAUGAUCAGCCACACUGGGACUGAGACACGGCCCAGACUCCUGGGGGAGGCAGCAGUGGGGAAUAUUGGAAAGGGGGCAAAAGCCUGAUCCAGCAAUGCCGGGGGGAUGAUGAAGGCCUUAGGUUUGUAAAGCUCUUUUACCCGGGAUGAUAAGAACAGUCCCGGGAGAAGAAGCCCCGGCAAACCCCGG